rnacentral:rRNA from 1 species
UACAGAGGGUGCAAGCGUUGUCCGGAAUCAUUGGGCGUAAAGCGUGCGCAGGCGGCUUCUCAAGUCAGGGGUGAAAGCCCAGAGCUCAACUCUGGAAUUGCCUUUGAGACUGAGUGGCUUGAGUACGAGAGAGGUGAGUGGAAUUCCCAGUGUAGAGGUGAAAUUCGUAGAUAUUGGGAAGAACACCGGUGGCGAAGGCGGCUCACUGGCUCGUAACUGACGCUCAUGCACGACAGCGUGGGGAUCAAACAGG